rnacentral:rRNA from 1 species
AACGAACGCUGGCGGCAGGCUUAACACAUGCAAGUCGAGCGCCCCGCAAGGGGAGCGGCAGACGGGUGAGUAACGCGUGGGCAUCUACCCAUCUCUACGGAAUAACGCAUGGAAACGUGUGCUAAUACCGUAUACGUCCUUCGGGAGAAAGAUUUAUCGGAGAUGGAUGAGCCCGCGUUGGAGUAGCUAGUUGGUGGGGUAAGGGCCUACCAAGGCGACGAUCCAUAGCUGGUCUGAGAGGAUGAUCAGCCACACUGGGACUGAGAAACGGCCCAGACUCCUACGGGGGGCAGCAGUGGGGAGGAUUGGACAAUGGGCGCAAGCCUGAUCCAGCCAUGCCGCGUGAGUGAUGAAGGCCCUAGGGUUGUAAAGCUCUUUCACCGGUGAAGAUAAUGACGGUAACCGGAGAAGAAGCCCCGGCUAACUUCGUGCCAGCCGCCGCCGUAAUAC